CUGAAACCGUGUACGUACAAGCAGUGGGAGCACCCUUUGGGUGUGACUGCGUACCUUUUGUAUAAUGGGUCAGCGACUUAUAUUCUGUAGCAAGGUUAACCGAAUAGGGGAGCCGGAGGGAAACCGAGUCUUAAUUGGGCGUUAAGUUGCAGGGUAUAGACCCGAAACCCGGUGAUCUAGCCAUGGGCAGGUUGAAGGUUGGGUAACACUAACUGGAGGACCGAACCGACUAAUGUUGAAAAAUUAGCGGAUGACCUGUGGCUGGGGGUGAAAGGCCAAUCAAACCGGGAGAUAGCUGGUUCUCCCCGAAAGCUAUUUAGGUAGCGCCUCGUGAAUUCAUCUCCGGGGGUAGAGCACUGUUUCGGCUAGGGGGCCAUCCCGGCUUACCAACCCGAUGCAAACUGCGAAUACCGGAGAAUGUUAUCACGGGAGACACACGGCGGGUGCUAACGUCCGUCGUGAAGAGGGAAACAACCCAGACCGCCAGCUAAGGUCCCAAAGUCAUGGUUAAGUGGGAAACGAUGUGGGAAGGCCCAGACAGCCAGGAUGUUGGCUUAGAAGCAGCCAUCAUUUAAAGAAAGCGUAAUAGCUCACUGGUCGAGUCGGCCUGCGCGGAAGAUGUAACGGGGCUAAACCAUGCACCGAAGCUGCGGCAGCGACACUGUGUGUUGUUGGGUAGGGGAGCGUUCUGUAAGCCUGUGAAGGUGUGUCGUGAGGC
rnacentral:rRNA from 1 species